GAUGAAGAACGUAGCGAAAUGCGAUAAGUAAUGUGAAUUGCAGAAUUCAGUGAAUCAUCGAAUCUUUGAACGCACAUUGCGCCCGCCAUUAUUCUGGCGGGCAUGCCUGUUCGAGCGUCAUUUCAACCCUCAAGCCCCAGCGGCCUGGUGUUGGGGACCGGCGACCUCGCCCGAGCCCGCCCUCCGGGGCGCGUGCCCGGUGCGUCCGCCGCCCCCGAAAUGAAUUGGCGGCCUCGUCGCGGCCUCCUCUGCGUAGUAGCACAACCUCGCAAGCGGGAGCGCGACGCGGCCACUGCCGUAAAACGCCCAACUUUUUUAGAGUUGACCUCGGAUCAGGUAGGAAUACCCGCUGAACUUAAGCAUAUCAAUAAGCGGAGGA
rnacentral:misc_RNA from 1 species